CCUACGGGAGGCAGCAGUGGGGAAUAUUGCACAAUGGGGGAAACCCUGAUGCAGCGACGCCGCGUGAGUGAAGAAGUAAUUCGUUACGUAAAGCUCUAUCAGCAGGGAAGAAAAUGACGGUACCUGAGUAAGAAGCCCCGGCUAACUACGUGCCAGCAGCCGCGGUAAUACGUAGGGGGCAAGCGUUAUCCGGAUUUACUGGGUGUAAAGGGAGCGUAGACGGCAGUGCAAGUCUGGAGUGAAAUGCCGGGGCUUAACCCCCGGACUGCUCUGGAAACUGUACAGCUGGAGUGCAGGAGAGGUAAGUGGAAUUCCUAGUGUAGCGGUGAAAUGCGUAGAUAUUAGGAGGAACACCAGUGGCGAAGGCGGCUUACUGGACUGUAACUGACGUUGAGGCUCGAAAGCGUGGGGAGCAAACAGGAUUAGAUACCCCAGUAGUC
rnacentral:rRNA from 1 species